UCGAUGUCUCUGACUCAAAGAAUAUUUCCAACAUACCUCUGAACAGCAUACUAAACCACAGAAUCCCCCCUACCAGCACUACAAAAAAGGGGAUUCUGCGUGGACUCCUCCAGACGGUCGAAACAACAGACUGGAUUUCUACAUAGAUUGCUUCCGUCGACGUGCAAAGGCUGAAAUUGUGGAAAAGGAACAUCACUUGCCCCAUAACCUCAGCCAUGCUGAACACAACGCCAUCUACAGCCUCAGAAACAACCCUGACAUCAUAAUCAAAAAGGCUGACAAAGGAGGUGCUGUUGUCGUCAUGAAUAAAUUGGAAUAUGACCAAGAGGCUGCUAGACAGCUCUCUAACACCACAUUCUACAGACCAUUAUCCUCUGAUCCCACUGAGGAUUAUCUAAAGAAACUACACCAUCUGCUAAAAAAAUUCCCUGACAAAGCACAGGAACAAAUCUGUACAGACACAUGCCUAGAACCCCGACCAGGGGUAUUCUAUUUGCUACCCAAGAUCCAUAAACCUGGAAAUUCUGAACGCCCCAUCAUCUCAGGCAUUGGCACCCUAACAUCAGGCUUGUCUGGUUAUGUGGACUCUCUCCUCAGACCCUGUGCUACCAGCACUCCCAGCUAUCUUCGAGACACCACUGACUUCCUGAGGAAACUACAAUCCAUCGGUGAUCUUCCAGAAAACACCAUCCUGACCACUAUGGACGUAGAAGCCCUCUACACCAAUAUUCCACACAAAGAUGGAUUACAAGCUAUCAGGAACAGUAUCCCCGAUAAUGUCACAGCUAACCUGGUGGCUGAACUUUGUGACUUUGUCCUCUCCCACAAGUAUUUCACAUUUGGGGACAAUAUAUACCUUCAAGUCAGCGGCACUGUUAUGGGUACCCACAUGGCCCCACAGUAUGCCAACAUUUUUAUGGCUGAUUUAGAACAACACUUCCUUAGCUUUCGUCCCCUAACGCCCCUAGUCUACUUGCGCUACAUUGAUGACAUCUUCAUCAUCUGGACCCAUGAAAAAGAAGCCCUUGAGGAAUUCCACCAUGAUUUCAAUAAUUUCCAUCCCACCAUCAACCUCAGCCUAGAUCAAUCCAUACAAGCGGUCCAUUUCCUGGACACUACAGUGCUAAUAAGCGAUGGUCACAUAAAUACCACCCUAUACCAGAAACCUACUGACUGCUACACUUACCUACAUGCCUCCAGCUUCCAUCCAGGACACGCCACACGAUCCAUUGUCUACAGCCAAGCUCUAAGAUAUAACCGCAUUUGCUCCAAUCCCUCAGAUAGAGACAAGCACCUACAAGAUCUCUAUCAAGCAUUCUUAAAACUACAAUACCCACCUGCUGAAGUGAAAAAACAGAUUGACAGAGCCAGAAGAGUACCCAGAAG
rnacentral:lncRNA from 1 species